UGAAUUUGGAUUAAUGUUAAAAGGGGGGUUUAUUAACAAUUCCAACUAGCUGUUAUGAUUCUGUAUUUGAAGUUAAGAAUUGCUUUCAACUUUAUCGGGUUACUUCAACCACAGUGCAACCUAGAUAAAUGAAGUAACUGAAGCAGAAGAGUCUAUCUCAAUUUCGCUUUUUCUUCUGGGGCUUCUUCUUCUUUGCUGGAGCUGGAAAGACGGCACGAAAUGUCCAUGCAGCCAUUAUUGCUCCUACAAAGGGACAGAUCCAGUAGACGUAAAACUGCUCCCAUGUGUUG
rnacentral:misc_RNA from 1 species